rnacentral:rRNA from 1 species
UAGGGAAUCUUCCGCAAUGGACGAAAGUCUGACGGAGCAACGCCGCGUGAGUGAAGAAGGUUUUCGGAUCGUAAAACUCUGUUGUUAGGGAAGAACAAGUGCCGUUCGAAUAGGGCGGCGCCUUGACGGUACCUAACCAGAAAGCCACGGCUAACUACGUGCCAGCAGCCGCGGUAAUACGUAGGUGGCAAGCGUUGUCCGGAAUUAUUGGGCGUAAAGCGCGCGCAGGUGGUUUCUUAAGUCUGAUGUGAAAGCCCACGGCUCAACCGUGGAGGGUCAUUGGAAACUGGGGAACUUGAGUGCAGAAGAGGAAAGUGGAAUUCCAAGUGUAGCGGUGAAAUGCGUAGAUAUUUGGAGGAACACCAGUGGCGAAGGCGACUUUCUGGUCUGUAACUGACACUGAGGCGCGAAAGCGUGGGGAGCAAACAGGAUUAGAUACCCUGGUAGUCCACGCCGUAAACGAUGAGUGCUAAGUGUUAGAGGGUUUCCG